rnacentral:rRNA from 1 species
AUUGAACGCUGGCGGCAGGCCUAACACAUGCAAGUCGAGCGUGCGGCGGACGGUUGCGUACUUUCUGUGCAACUGCCUGUUGGAGGGGGAUAACUACUGGAAACGGUAGCUAAUACCCCCUACCAUCACAUGUGCCCCGAGGGGUUUAGCUAGUAGGUGGGGUAACGGCUCACCUCGGCGACGCUCCCUAGCUGGUCUGAGAGGAUGACCAGCCACACUGGAACUGAGACACGGUCCAGACUCCUACGGGAGGCAGAAGUGGGGAAUAUUGCACAAUGGGCGCAAGCCUGAUGCAGCCAUGCCGCGUGUGUGAAGAAGGCCUUCGGGUUGUAAAGCACUUUCAGCGGGGAGGCGGUACCCGAAGAAGAAGCACCGGCUAACUCCGUGCCAGCAGCCGCGGUAAUAG